rnacentral:lncRNA from 1 species
UUUGUGGGUUCUGGGUUCGUGAGGGGGGGGGUGGGUUUGUGAUAGGGGAUGUGUACACCCGUUUUGUUUUUAUUCCUGUGAUGGAAGGCAAAGUUCCUCAUUGCCUUGAAAACCACUGGUCAACAAGCCAACUUUCUUUGGUGUGCGAGCGUGCCACUGCUAACAAUAAAAAAAAUCCUGGCAGACUUCUUUGAAACAGAUAACUUGCGCCCCAAGUUACUGAUUUCUAAACAAGCAAUUAUGAAUUUGGGUGAGGAAUAUCUCCCAAGUAAGUUCUUUUCCUACCUCAGGCUGGUGAGGACUUCAUAAUUUAUCACAGUAUAAAAUUGGUAGUUCUGGCCAGAAUAGAUGAUAAUGAAGUGGACUGUUUUAGGCAGAACUGUCUUUUACAAAAUUAAGAAUGAAAAAAAAAAAAAUCAACUCUAAAAAGACAAAAGAUGGUUGGAAUCCCAUUUUUGCCUGGGUAGAAACUUCUGAUCCGGGCUGGACUGAGUUGUUAACAACUUCAACUGCUUAGCUUUAGCUGUAAAUCAAUACCAAAGUUCAAUUUUGGCAGAGCUUUAAUCUACUUUAAGCCUUGGGAGGCUUUUAAGCGGGCAGAACUGCAGCUUCUUUAGUCUAAAGGGGCAAAAGUGG